CGUCAGCUCGUGUCGUGAGAUGUUGGGUUAAGUCCCGCAACGAGCGCAACCCUUAAGCUUAGUUGCCAUCAUUAAGUUGGGCACUCUAAGUUGACUGCCGGUGACAAACCGGAGGAAGGUGGGGAUGACGUCAAAUCAUCAUGCCCCUUAUGAUUUGGGCUACACACGUGCUACAAUGGACAAUACAAAGGGCAGCGAAACCGCGAGGUCAAGCAAAUCCCAUAAAGUUGUUCUCAGUUCGGAUUGUAGUCUGCAACUCGACUACAUGAAGCUGGAAUCGCUAGUAAUCGUAGAUCAGCAUGCUACGGUGAAUACGUUCCCGGGUCUUGUACACACCGCCCGUCACACCACGAGAGUUUGUAACACCCGAAGCCGGUGGAGUAACCUUUUAGGAGCUAGCCGUCGAAGGUGGGACAAAUGAUUGGGGUGAAGUCGUAACAAGGUAGCCGUAUCGGAAGGUGCGGCUGGAUCACCUCCUUUCUA
rnacentral:rRNA from 1 species